rnacentral:rRNA from 1 species
UACGUAGGGUGCAAGCGUUGUCCGGAAUUAUUGGGCGUAAAGAGCUCGUAGGCGGUCUGUCGCGUCGGCUGUGAAAACUCGGGGCUCAACCCCGAGCCUGCAGUCGAUACGGGGCAGACUAGAGUGCGGUAGGGGGAGACUGGAAUUCCUGGUGUAGCGGUGAAAUGCGCAGAUAUCAGGAGGAACACCGAUGGCGAAGGCAGGUCUCUGGGCCA